rnacentral:rRNA from 1 species
CCCUUAGAUGUUCUGGGCCGCACGCGCGCUACACUGAUGCGUUCAACGAGUAUACAACCUUGAUCGAUAGGUCUGGGUAAUCUUGUGAAUGCGCAUCGUGCUAGGGAUAGAUUGUUGCAAUUUUCAAUCUUGAACGAGGAAUUCCUAGUAAACGCAAGUCAUCAGCUUGCAUUGAUUACGUCCCUGCCCUUUGUACACACCGCCCGUCGCACCUACCGAUUGAAUGUUCCGGUGAGCUCUUCGGACUGCGCGGUCUGCAGUUUCUGCGUUCCGUGCGGAAAGUUGCGCAAACCUUAACAUUUAGAGGAAGGAGAAGUCGUAACA